rnacentral:lncRNA from 1 species
UGAAACUUAAUCUCACUCAAAAGCCUUAUAUUAUGGUCAUUGAAUAGCUUUACUUAUUGUGGGCAGUCACAAUGGGAGAGCUUAUAUGAUGAGAAAAGACGCGCUGUCAAUCGCUGUUCCUCGGCUGCAGCUUUCAUUGACUGGUGCAACAAGCUGGUAGAUAAAUUGCAGAAGGCUCUUGAAAAGCUACCUACAACAGAAACAACAACAGAAGAAACCAUUGAUCAUGUAAUGCUAAUCCAAACAAGCAAUAUCAUUAUGAUCUUAUAGAUAUGAGAACCAGCUCCAGAUGUAACACAAAUCUAUCAUAAUCAUAACCUUUAAACUUGCUUUGUGUAUUUAGAACAUGCAAUUCUCGAUGUUCAAAAGCGGUAAAACCUCAGCACAAGAAAACAUGAUGAUAUUUCGGCAGAAAGCAGAAUGCCAGAAACUGAACAGUGAAGUAAUAGGUGUUUUCAAAGAUACCGACGAUCAGGUAUUGUUAAUAUUGUUAAGCUUAAACCCCCAAGAUUCAAAAUCUACUUACUAGUACCAUUAGUGUCCUCUUAACUUUUUGUCUUUCCAUAUAAUUAGCUCUACUACGUUCAACGAAAAAUGCCAAGGAUCGACAGCAGAAAAGCUGUACACGGUCUUCUAAAAAAAGGUUAAAGAGAAGAACAAAUAUCGAGACAAAGCUCUUUCAAAUUGUACACUAGUUUGUAACUCAACUAAUCAUGAGAGUUUGAGAAAAUCUGUGGAGCUGGAAAUAAAAGUAAGACAAAUCUCUUACUUUAUUUGAGCACUAGCCUAUCUUACUUUAGACCAACCAAUGAGAAUAUGUUUGCAAAUGAACUAGGUUCUGAAGAAGCUGAUUAGAGAACUUUAAAAAGACUGGGAAGAAAAACUGCAUGUAAAGCAAUACGCAACGAAUAUACAUAAAGAUUUCACACAAAAGGUGAAGCGUCUAGAGGAGAAACGCGAACACUUAUCGGGACAGUGGGACGAUGAAAGGAAAGCCAUGCUCGGGAUGAAGAAAAAGAAUGAUAGGAGGAUAGGUACAUAUCCAGAAGCGAAAUAAUGUAUAUCAAGAUGUUGUUGAUAAGUAACAUGAUGGGUUGUAAAUGCAAUGUAUUAAUUUGGGGCUUGGAGCCUUUCAUUUUUCCUAAACCGUUCACCAAAAUUUCAACUGCAUAGUUUCACUACAAAGUUAUGUUCCUUCGACUAUAGAAAGACUUCGCAAUCUUCAGCUAUAUAGUCAUCAAGUGAUUCUACCAAAGCAAAAGGUUUCUUUUAGAACUUAAUUUCCAGAAUUUGAUCUCUCAAAAUUGAAAUUCCCAAAACGAAAAGAUCAAGGUCAAAAGCAAUUAACUUCAAAUUAAGGGAUUGAGACUAAAUUAGCAAAGUUAGACCAAGCCAAUGUAGAUUAAACUAAACGAUACUAAUCAGGUGGCUGAAUUAGUUCAGUAGCAAACAAAUUAAUCUAAAAAAAAGAAUGGAUAAAGACAAUUAAUUAGCAAGAAGGUAAACUUCCACGAAACAGCACAACAGUCACUAUCCCUUGUUCUUUAAGCUUUGACUCAACAUAUCUAAGUCAUUGCAUAAUACUUAUAAAACAAUAAAAUGAAGAAAUUCAACAACCAAGAACGUCAUAAAUAGCAGAACCAGAUUUGGCCUCAAAGUCACUAACCUUUGGAAUGGCAUCAUCAUCAUCAUCUUCUCCAAUCAAAUUCAUAGAAAAGGCACUUCUUGCCACCGGCCAAUUUGCUCUGUCCUACACCGAUCCAGAUCAGAAAUGGCUCAUCAGAAAGCAUCUAAUUUCUUUCCUCCAAGAUUUUC